rnacentral:lncRNA from 1 species
AAGUGAAUCGGUUGCGCGAGCACGACUGCUACGACUGGGCCCGCCCUCCCCACUCGGUGUACCUGGGGGUUGCCUGGCGUACAACACAGCUCUGCCAGCCUGCGUCUACACUCCCCGCCACAGGUUGUCCAUGUUCGCCGCUCUCUCUCUCUCCCCCGACACCGCUGGACUACCCGAUACUCUACCCGGAAGUCUAGUCAAACCCCAGCGAGUUAAAGCAGCAGUCGACAGCUGAAAGUAGACGACAAGGAGUAAUCGUUGGUCGUAGCCGCUGACCUCGCUGGAUCUGUCGGACGUAAUCGAUAACGGCGUGCACGAUGCUGCAGCAGUUUGUCGUGUCGCUGGGGACGACGAGGAGAGAUUGGCGACAGAUCUUCAAAGGAAGAUAAGGUGUCAUCUCAUCACUCAGGCUGAGCCAGCAGUAAAGACAUCACCCGCCAGUAUCUGCACUUCCUACAGGCAAGAGAGAGAGGAAGGUGGAAGGAGAAAGAGUGACCGAUAAAAAGUUUCUGUAAUGUCAUCCAGAGACGUAUCCACGAGAUGUCACCUGCUCACCAUCCGGGCUAGAGGAACGUGAAUGACGGCCGCUACCAAAUACUCUACUCAACGUUGGCACUACGUUGACCCUACGUUGACCUUACUCUUGCCACUGCUGCUCCACUACGUUGACUGUAUGCUCGUCCUUCUGCCCAUUGCCGGCCUCAACAAGUCUGGAAUAUGUUGCAGAAAUCCGUUGGAAACCUCGGAGUAUCUAGCUGGCACUGAGUGGAGAACUUUCUGGAUCGUCAUCUUCUCUCCUUGCACGUGUAGAACUCUUUUCUGCUGUGAGGAAUAAUCAGUAUCAGCCCGUCGUGAACAAGGAGCCGUUGCCAGAUUCUCCUGUUGCAGUCUGAUUCCGAUCACAACAUGUUUAUUUAAGGAACAUCGAUUAAAUCGAUUUUUUAACACCUUGAGGUGAUCUGCGCAGAUGAUAAGACAAAGUGGGGAUGCGCGUGGCUAACCCUGUCUCCCCAGCACUUUCGUUUUUCUGAGGUAGAAAGCUGUCGUUAAUUAUUAAUAAGAGAGCUGAAUAAAAAAAAAAUCACUUUUAACACAUACACUUCUUAAGAAAAAAUCUUUAAAAAAAAAACAAAAACAACCUCAUACAACAGAAAGAAAAAAAAAUACCUACUGUCACCAUUUUCUCCCAGUAGUCUGAAUUUUAAAAACAAAUUACAGGAGCAACAACAUUUUUUUCUUUAAAUUUUUAACCACAUCUCGAAGCGGAUGUAAAACAAGGCCAAGCCGUGGACCAGCUAAUGGUGAAUUUUUUCGAAAAAUGUUUCUGGUAAUUUCGAAAUUUCUGCGCUUAAAAUGUUGUUACUGAAACAGCUAGCCUUUCAGAAAAAAAUCAGGCUAAACCCCUGGAGCUACACCACCCUUGCGAUGAUGAAGAUCUGAACCGAGUUUGCACUUCUUGUCAUUUUAGCGGUCCGGUGGCGCAACGGUUAGCGCUGUUAGCGCCUGUCACCAAUACAGUGAAGGUUGGCUGCCCUGAGUUCAUUUCUCGUCUCGGGCACGCUGAUCUUUCUCUGCACGUGGCAUCUGUUUA